UCAAAAACUCAAAACAUCAAAAACACAAUUUCUCGCGCCUAACUCUAUCUCGAGUUCUCGACCCAGCAGCAACCCAGAGCAACAAACCCAGCAGCAAUCCAAUUUAUAAAACAGACUCUCUCUCUCUCUCUCUCUCUCUCUCUCUCUCUCUUUGAAGCCUUCAGCUUUGAUCUUUUUCAUUCUGGAUCUAAUUCAUAGCCGCUUAAUCUCGAGGCCCCGAUCUAUCGUCAGCUGAGGUUACAUGUUGCUCGGGUUUUGGCAAAUUAAAAACCCAAGCUUGAGCCCUUCGAUCUCUCUUCGUGAAACCCUAAAAUCCCAUUCCUAGAUGCCAAGUUCUCUGCUAGUUUAGUUCCUAUCGAAUCUAUGCCUUAUCAUCUCCGGCAGAAGUUGCCGCUUCCUAAAUACGAACCCUACUUUUGGUCACAUGCAAAUAAGGGCACUUUUCUAUUCUCAUUGCAGAGAAUUGGUAUCCAAGAUUAUGAAUUUCCUGCAACGAAGGUACUAUGACUUGAAGGUUGGGAAUGGAACUAAGGCAGUGACAGGAUCCCGGGUUGCAGUACGGUUGUGAUCAAGUUAAAUUUCAAUAUUUUGAGUAUAUAUGAUCAAUACUGUCUCCAAGAAUAUGCCAAUACCAAGUGUUAUUAGAUAUCACAUAUUACUAAGCUUCCAUACUUGACUAGAUACCAAAUGAACCUUUGAGACAUUCCCAGUAGGACCUCACUAUGCUCGUACCUAGUUGUCUGCUCAAGUAUUCUCUCUUCCGAUGUGUUACUUGGCUGCCUUUUAGGUUCAUUAUGUUGCAAAGUGGAAGGGUAUCACUUUCAUGACAAGUAGACAAGGACUUGGUGUUGGUGGAGGAAUGUCAUACGGAUUUGAUGUAGGCCAAUCUGAGAAGGGAUCAGUCCUCAAGGGGUUAGAUAUUGGUGUAAAAGGCAUGCGGGUAGGAGGCCCAGUGAGAUCUGUUUUUGGCAUAUAAAGUUUCAUUGCUAUGUUCUGAAGCAAUGUUGCAGCAUAAAUUGAGUUUAUACUUUGCAGAAGAGGUCACAAGUUCCUACAUUAUCAUUUUGGCGUUUAGUAUUAAGCCAUCUAUGUGGAUUUAUGUAAAGACUAAUUAAUAGAGUCUGAAUUUCAGACAUCUGAUGUAUAUUUGUUCCUCUCUCACUGUGUAAGAGUUUUAGAGUUGUUGUGGUAAUAAUUGUUCAAGGUGUUGGACAUCUUUUUGUUCUCUAUGAUACUCGUCAUGAAAGUGAAAUCACUUGAACAACUGAAAUGACAGCUACUUCUUUUCUUAAUUUUUUAUUUUCUUAUUAUGUAUUAUAAGUAUCCCUUUGGGUCCCAAUAAUUUAUCAACUGUUUGAUUUAGAUUCUUUGUUCCUCAGCGAUUGCUUAUAGUUCCUCCUGAGCUGGCAUAUGGAAGCAAAGGAGUCCAAGAAAUCCCUCCAAAUGCAACAAUAGAGGGCAUAUUUUAUUCCCCAUGGAGCUGAUCCAAUCCCAACAGUUGAUUGGAGAUAAUCCAUCACCCAUGAAGUUGCUACCUCUAACUCCCAGUCCCAUAGGCUUACCAUCAACAAGUAUUCUGCUUUUGAAACAGCUGGGAAGCUUCCAUGGGUAAUACCCUUUCUUGUAAACUUAAUAUAUAAACAAAAUUGAUCACAUAGUGCAGUCAAGUAGUUGUUAGUUUCUAGAUUGCUUCAUGACCUUCUCUGUUGUAUUAGCAUCCAUUUUAAUAAAUUGAUAAGCUUUUGGAAUUGAUAAUCUUUUGGUUGGGAGUCGGGACUUGUGAGUGAUUAGGUUUCUUUUAAUCUCUUAUAAAAUUGUAGUCUAAGCAGUCAUGGAUAGGUGCCAACUUUUUUUGGACUUCUGCAGAAACUGCCCCGCAGCACAGCUCUCUUUGGUAUUUGUUUUACCCUACUUAAUGAUCUUCAAAUAUACUGAAAUUUUGACAUGUUUCUGUUUUGUUAGUUAACAAAGGAUCUGGAAAGUUUCAUUUUAUUCCGAAGCAAAGUGAAUUUUCGGUGAUUCUUCCAAAUUUGUUCAGUCAGAUUAUGUUCAUCUUUUUCCUUGCUGUCCUAAAUCCGAAUUCCAUGAAAAUUCAAUUGCUUUGACUCUUUCGUGUUGAUUUUACUGGGAGAGGAGAGCUUGCAGAUCGCCAUGUCAAUUCCAUAUAUAUAUAUAUAUGGUAGAUUGCUUUGGAGUAAUAUUACUCUAUAAUUAUUUGUUUUUGGGUUAGAAGUGGUCUAGUUUUGCUUGGUGUUCUCUUAAAUUAUGUUCUGAAUUGGCUUCAAGCCUUUUGACUUUGAUGAUAUAACAAGCCUUUUGUAUUGUUCCAAAAUGAA